rnacentral:rRNA from 1 species
UGUGAGCCAGGUUGGUUUCUAUCUUUUAAAAUUUAAAAUAUUUUAGUACGAAAGGAUCAAAUAUUUUAAUUAAAUUAUAAAAAUUAUUUGAAUUUUAUUAAAUACAUUUUUAAAAUAUUUCAUAAGUUAAUUUUUAUUUUAUUUUUAAUAAAUAAAAUUUUUAA